rnacentral:rRNA from 1 species
UACAGAGGGGGCAAGCGUUGUUCGGAAUUACUGGGCGUAAAGGGCGCGUAGGUGGCCUUCUAAGUUGAACGUGAAAUCCCUGGGCUCAACCCAGGAACUGCGUCCAAGACUGGGAGGCUUGAAUCCGGGAGAGGGAUGCGGAAUUCCAGGUGUAGCGGUGAAAUGCGCAGAUAUCUGGAGGAACACCGGUGGCGAAGGCGGCAUCCUGGACCGGCAUUGACGCUGAGGAGCGAAAGCCAGGGGAGCAAACGGG